UCUCCAAGGGAAACCAUAAGUUUUUCGGUUACGGGGAGAGUAUGGUCGCAAGGCUGAAAUUUAAAGGAAUUGACGGAAGGGCACCACCAGGGGUGGAACCUGCGGCUUAAUUUGACUCAACACGGGGAAACUUACAUGGUCCAGACAUCGAUAGGAUAAACAGACUGAUAGAUCUUUUUUGAUGCGGUGAGUGGUGGUGCAUGGCCGUUCCUAGUUCGUGGAGUGAUCUGUCAGGUUUAUUCCGGUAACGAACGAGACUACAACCUUCAUUUAAGAGGCAAAAGCAGGUUUCGCGAUUGACUGUGCUUCGGUGCUUUCUUUCGUGUCUCUGAAAGAAGAAUAUCCAAGUUUUCGGUUUUCUGAGUGAGCGGGCAACCGUGAUCUCAGUUGGCUGUUUAAUGCGGGUAUUUUCUCUUUUGUCAAGCAGUCAUUGGGUAACCUUUGGCUGACUUAUGGAGGGACUGCUGGUGUUACAAAACCAGAGGAAGUGUGGCGCUAAC
rnacentral:rRNA from 1 species